rnacentral:rRNA from 1 species
UACGGCGGAUGCCUAGGCGUUUCGAAACGAAGAAGGACGCGAUAAGCUGCGAUAAGCCGUGGUUAGCUGCAAGUAAGCAUUGAUCCACGGAUUUCCGAAUGGGGCAACCCGGCAAGAGUAACGUCUUGUCACCUUAUCUUCGAGAUAAGGAGAAAACACCCGAUGAACUGAAACAUCUAAGUAGUCGGAGGAAAAGAAAUCAAAGAGAUUCCCUGAGUAGCGGCGAGCGAAACGGGAAGAGCCCAAACCAAGAGACUUCGGUUUCUUGGGGUUGCGGACCUGCAACAAACCGGACACUUUAGUGGAAGCAUCUGGGAAGGUGCGGCAAAGAGAGUGAGACCCUCGUACACGAAAGAGUGAAAGGCGGGCAGGGAUCCAGAGUACCACAGGGCACGAGGAACCCAGUGGGAAGCAGGGUGGACCACCAUCCAAGGCUAAAUACAUCGAAACGACCGAUAGUGAAAAGUACCGUGAGGGAAAGGUGAAAAGAACCCCGGGAGGGGAGUGCAAAAGAACCUGAAACCGUAUGUCUGCAAACAGUCGAAGCACAAUUUAACGUGCGACGGCGUGCCUAUUGAAGAAUGAACCGGCGAGUUAAUUUAUGCUGCGAGGUUAAGCAGAAGAUGCGGAGCCGAAGCGAAAGCGAGUCUUAAGAGGGCGAUGAGUAGCAUGGAUUAGACCCGAAACCACAGUGAUCUAUGCAUGUCCAGGUUGAAGCUCAGGUAAAAAUGAGUGGAGGACCGAACCCGUGCGUGUUGAAAAACGUUGGGAUGAGGUGUGCAUAGGGGUGAAAUGCCAAUCGAACGUGGAGAUAGCUGGUUCUCCCCGAAAUAGCUUUAGGGCUAGCCUCAGGCGAAUCACCAUAGAGACGGUAGAGCACUGAUCGGGCAAGGGGGCGUAAAGCCUACCGACCCCAGUCAAACUACGAAUGGCUCAUAUGGGCAGCCUGGGAGUCAGAAUGCGAGUGAUAAGACCCGUAUUCAAGAGGGAAACAGCCCAGACCGCCGGCUAAGGUCCCAAAUGCUGUGCUAAGUGGAAAAGGAUGUAGGACUUCGAAAACAACCAGGAUGUUGGCUCAGAAGCAGCCACCAUUAAAAGAGUGCGUAAUAGCUCACUGGUCGAGAGGCCCUGCGCCGAAAAUAUCCGGGGCUAAAGCACAGAACCGAAGCCGCGGCAGGGUGUACUAAGGUACACACUGGGUAGGGGAGCGUUCUUAUCUGGACGAAGGCAGACCGGAAGGACUGCUGGACGGGUAAGAAGUGAGAAUGCCGGUAUGAGUAGCGAAACGACAGGUGAGAAUCCUGUCCACCGAAAGCCUAAGGGAUCCUGGGCAACGCUCGUCGCCCCAGGGUAAGUCGGGACCUAAGCCGAGGCGAAAAGCAUAGGCGAUGGACAACUGGCGAAAAUUCCAGUACCGGGCGUCUUCGUUUAAGGAUGGAGUGACGCAGGAAGGAAGCUGAGCGCGCGAAUGGUUGGGCGCGUCGAAGGCGGUAGGCUUGUAUGGAGGCAAAUCCCCAUACUAUAAGGCCGAGAACCGAUAGAUAGGAAAGACUACGGUCAAUCUGAAUUCAGCCGCACUACACUGCCAAGAAAAGCUUCUAACGAGAAGACGUCCGCCCGUACCAAAACCGACACAGGUAGGCGGGGAGAGAAUCCUAAGGUGCGCGGGAAAACCCUCGUUAAGGAACUCGGCAAAAUGCAUCCGUAACUUCGGGAAAAGGAUGGCCGUUGAUGGUGAAGACAUUUACUGUUGGAGCUGUUGGCGGCGGCAGAAAAGAGGCCCAAGCGACUGUUUACCACAAACACAGGUGCCUGCGAAAGCGCAAGCUGAAGUAUAGGUGCUGACGCCUGCCCGGUGCAGGAAGGUUAAGGAGAGUUGUUAGUCCUUGCGAUGAAGCAGCGAACUGAAGCCCCUGUAAACGGCGGCCGUAACUAUAACGGUCCUAAGGUAGCGAAAUUCCUUGUCGGGU